rnacentral:tRNA from 1 species
GGAGGGAUGGCAGAGUGGUUGAAUGCAGCGGUCUUGAAAACCGCCGUGCGGGUUCCCGUACCGAGGGUUCGAAUCCCUCUCCCUCCG